UGGUGAUACCGGAUCCCCGGCCUAUGGCGCCAGCGCAGCGCUGCCCUCUGUGCCGCCAGACCUUCUUCUGUGGUCGCGGGCACGUUUACAGCCGCAAGCACCAGCGGCAGCUGAAGGAGGCUUUGGAGAGGCUCCUGCCCCAGGUGGAGGCGGCCCGCAAGGCCAUCCGCGCCGCUCAGGUGGAGCGCUAUGUGCCCGAACACGAGCGAUGCUGCUGGUGCCUGUGCUGCGGCUGUGAGGUGCGGGAACACCUGAGCCAUGGAAACCUGACGGUGCUGUACGGGGGGCUGCUGGAGCAUCUGGCCAGCCCAGAGCACAAGAAAGCAACCAACAAAUUCUGGUGGGAGAACAAAGCUGAGGUCCAGAUGAAAGAGAAGUUUCUGGUCACUCCCCAGGAUUAUGCACGGUGAGUCACUGGUAUUGAACGUGAAGUAGCAGAGUGAAUUCUCUGGAUCUUUGUCGGGUAUGGGAGCUUACUCUAUUAACUGGAAAGUUCAGGAGGGACUUCCGAAGUAUCUGCUGUCUUCAUAGCACUUCUUAGUCUAUGUACUAUAUUGGACACAAAAAUGUGACAGUUCUUGAGGUUUA
rnacentral:sRNA from 1 species